rfam:Glycine soja cultivar W05 scaffold2018_22, whole genome shotgun sequence.
UUCGUUGUCAUUUAGUCAGGUAUGAUGUCUGGCUAUCACCCAGUUUUCCUGGGUUCAAAUCCUAACAUUGAAA